rfam:Glycine soja cultivar W05 scaffold717_12, whole genome shotgun sequence.
AGGUCAUGUAAUGCAGCCAAGGAUGACUUGCCGGCAAGCUUCUUUUGGCAUUGUGAAUCAAGUUUUAAACCGUGGUUGCAGUUUCAUUGUGAUAAAUUGCGGAUAAAUGCGGCCAAUGUGCAGCAUUUUGGUCACAGUAACAUAAAAAAUCUUGAUGCUGUGGUUGAAAUCAGGACAUGUGGACCGGUUUUUAAAACCUUGAUUGUGAAGACCUAAUCACAUUAGUUAUGCUCACAUGCACAUUAUGCUGCCUUAGAAGUCAAGUGUAACUAGUUGCCCGGCAAGUCGUCUCUGGCUACAUAAAGGCCUCC